UCUCCACUACAGCUUUGCUCCUUUGUCUGUCUGUCCAUCUCCCCUGGCCUGGCGCUGCUGAAAUUUCCUCGAUCCAUAGACAUGUCUGCAAGUUCUUUGCGGAAUAGGAUCGUUGACCCGUAGACAAGGGUGAGCUGAGUCGUCGGAAAUUGCAAUAGUCUUGCAUUUUUUUUAGCUGGGGGAGGAAUAAUCUUGAUUCUUCAAGUUGAGCUGGGCGAGGAAUAAUCUUCAUGCUCACAAGUCACUGAUUUGUAGCGAUUUAGAGAAGUUGCAGUAAAUCUGAAUUACUCCAGUGUGCAGAUUUGCAGUAAACUUUAUUACUCCAGUGUGGAUUUGCACUGAUUUGGAGUAGCUUUGAUGCAGUAGGCUUUUCAGUUUUUAGUAACAUCUGUGUUUUAGGCCCUCUGUUACGAAUUGUUGUGAGGAUAUGAGUAUGCAGUAGUGUGCAGAUUUGCACUGAUGAGAAAUGCAGUGACCAACACAAAUUUUGGAGUAGCUUGUUUGAUCUACAGUUGGGAAGGAGAUUAAUAGAGGUACUGUCAGUAGUUUGUGUUAAUCUUGGGCUGCUGCUGUCAGUAUCUUGUGUUAAUUUUGGUGCAGUAGCUGCUGCUACUGCUUGUUUGAUCUACAGUUGGAGUACUCCUGUAACAACUUGUUUGAUCUAGAAGGAGUAGUUUUCUGACUUCUUAGAAUUAUCUCUCUUGCAACAACUUGUUUAUCCUUUCACUCAUAUCCUCACAACAACGUUUUCACCUGUAUAUUGGGUGGUUGCAGCCAUCAAUGACCCUGCUAACCGAAAGAACUGCAGCAGACCCUACUAACUGAAAGAACUGCAGCCAUUAAUUAAGAUAAUCUGAAACCUUUUCUUUUAAUUAACUUAAAACUUCCAGUAAAAUUAAGAUAAACUAAAACCAUUUCUUUCAAUUAACGUAAAAUUAUCUGAACCAUUUGUCCUCUCUUACUCUCUUCUUUUUCAGUAAAGUGUAGGAGUAAAAUAAAAUGAAACCUUUUCCUUUAACUAACUUAAAAUCUUUUUGCAUCAAGGUUGACCCCGUCUCCUCUUUGAUGGAACAUAUUCUUCUUCUUCUUCUCUUUGAACAAGACCUUUGAACUUGAUAACCGGCCGGCCGGAGUAGAUUGGUUGAAUUUGGGUGUGUGGUAACUGCAGCUUGUUUUCCUCUCACCAUGGGGCUGGGUAAACUGCAGUUAUUAGUUAAACUUCCCUGAUUUGUUUUCUUCUCGAUUUGGCCAGAUGGAUCAAAUGUACUGAAACUUUGCUUAUUCUCAUGAAGCAGCUGUAGCUUCUUUUGAAAGUUGUCGUAUGUAGCUUGUGUUAAUUUGUCUACUGAAACUUGGGCUACUGAAGCUUGUUAACUUGCAUAAUAUUGUGAACUUAAUUGUUGCUUGCAUAUUAAUGACAGUAAAAUCAUGAUAUGAGUAGUUUCUGUAAAAUCAUGACAUGCCAUACAAGCUACUCAAACUCAGGAGUAGUUUCAGUAAAAUCUAUUCUAUGGACUUGCUGUUUAGUUUUAUUUAAAAUUAGGAGUAGGAGUAGCUCUUGGAGUAGGAGUAGGAGUAGUUCUUGGAGUAUGAGUAGGAGUAGGAGUAGUUCUUGGUUAAUUAAACCUUUUCAUUUAAUUAAAACUAAACUGAACUACUCUUCUCCUCUCCUCUCGUCUCUUUCAUUUGUCUUCUCUUUCUCUUUUGCCCUCUUACAAUAGUGCAACAAUAUGAGACCUAAAUCAAAUGAAACCAAAUGAAACUUUCACUAAUGGAGUACUCCUAUUUCUCUCUUCUUUUCUCUUCUUUCUUUCUUCUUGGAGUGCUUGAUUAUCUUCCAGUUCUCUCUCUCUCUCUCUCUCUGUGUGUGUGUGUGUGUGUGUGUUGCCCUCUCUUCUUACUUUCUCUCUCUUCCAGUGCCCUCUCUUCUUCUCUCUUAAUUAAACAAAAAUGAUCACACAAAUGAUGCACUCCUCACAAAAUUAAAUUAAACUUUUCAAACAAAAAUGAUCAUAUAUAUGGAGUAAAAUCCAGUCCAUAGAAGCCUUUUGCAAACAUAUGGAGUAAUUUCACAAGGGGUUUACAUAUACUGCACACAAACAAGGAGUUACACACAUACUCCACACAAAUAAUCACAAGCAUCUUAACAAGCAACUCCUCCAGCAUCUCAACAAGCAUCUCGACAAGCAACUCAACAAGCAUCUCCUCAAGCAUCUGAACUAGCAUCUCGACAAGCAACUCCUCAAGCAUCUCAACAAGCAUCUCCUCAAGCAUCUCAACAAGAAACUUCUCAAGCAUCUCCUCAAGCAUCUCGACAAGCAACUCCUCAAGCAUCUAAACUAGCAUCUCGACAAGCAACUCCUCAAGCAUCUCAACAAGCAUCUCGACAAGCAACUCCUCAAGCAUCUCAACAAGCAUCUCCUCAAGCAUCUCAACAAGAAACUUCUCAAGCAUCUCCUCAAGCAUCUCGACAAGCAACUCCUCAAGCAUCUAAACUAGCAUCUCGACAAGCAACUCCUCAAGCAUCUCAACAAGCAUCUCGACGAGCAACUCCUCAAGCAUCUCGACAAGCAUCUCCUCAAGCAUCUCAACAAGUAUCUCGACAAGCAACUCCUCAAGCAUCUCAACAAGCAACUCGACAAGCAUCUCGACAAGCAACUCCUCAAGCAUCUCAACAAGCAUCUCGACGAGCAUCUCAACAAGCAUCUCGACAAGCAACUCAACAAGCAUCUCCUCAAGCAUCUGAACUAGCAUCUCGACAAGCAACUCAACAAGCAACUCUCUCCAUUAUCCCAAGAUUGUGCAGGGCAUUUGCAUAUACCUCUUGAGGGCAUGUGGGGUGUAGUUGAGGUCUGGGAGAUCCAUGUUCUCCAGGCAACUAAAAAGAACUUUCAAGAUUGUUUUAAAGAAGGGCUAUUGAAAAAAGAUGUGUGAGGGCAUCAGUCACUCUCAUGCCGGCAUGCCGCACUUUCAGCUAGCAGGUUGGUAUCUCAACAUUUCUCCAUUCAAGUCAUUUCCCAUAGUGUUUUUUUCGAAGCACUAACUGCAAAUUUGCAUACUAAUAAUGACCGGAGUAUUUUAUUUACAUCAAAUUAUGUCAAACACUUUAGAUUGUUCAGUCAUACCAUAGUGUUUAAAAGUUUGGACAUUCUGAAGAUUCAAAUAAAAAUAGCCAUGUGCACAGUUUACUUGAUCAUGUCAAGUUACAGGUGAAAGAGACCCUCUUAUGGGAAUAAUGGAGUACAGAAAUGAUAGUGAGUUCAAAGUAAGGCUGAGGUAAAAUUUUCGGAGGCCAUGCUCUAUGUUUUACCACUACCCUUCUUGGUAUUCAUGCUCCUGAUAUUCAUACUCCUAUUCCUACUCAAUUUUACCUGAAAUGAGAGUAGCAAUUAUUUUUGCCCAUUAAUUCAUACUCCUACUGAUUUGGAGUACUGAUGAAACUAAGAAGUCCAAACCUGUGUUAAAUUGACAGUACAUGCUCAUUUUUUGUAUUGACAGUACAAGUCCAAACUUGUAUUGACAGUACAUGUUCUACUCAGUGUUCAUCUUUCAGUGUUCAAUAUCACUGUUCAGUUUCAGUGUUAAAUUUCAGUAUUACUCCAAGAUUGUACUACAUGCAAUUAUUCAAAUUAUUUAAGACAGAUGAUUACAUCAAGUUUAUGAUCAUCAAAUUGUUUACUCGGAUGAUGCAGAGGGAGUAAUGGGCGAGGAGAUGAACCUAGGAGAGCAAAAUUGAGAACUCCAGCUAAAGCAGCUCCUGCCCAGCGGCGAGGACUUCAGCGGCAGCAGCACCUGUGCAUGGGGAGGAACAGCCCUUGGGCGCGCGUAGGCAGCAGCUCGCCUCCACUAGCGGGCGGCAGCAGAGCACCAGCUCGCCUCCACCAGCGGCCGGCAGUAGAUCAGCACCUCGUCUCCACCAGCGGGCGGCAGCAGAGCACCACCUGGGCGCGCGGGGGCCGGGAGGAGCCCCUGGCGUGGGAGAGGAGCGCGGGGGUGGAGGGCAGGUGGCGGAGCCGCGGAGGCGGAGGUGGAGUGCCGGGGCGGAGGUGGAGGGCGGGUGGCAGAGCCGCGGAGGCGGAGGUGGAGUGCCGGGGCGGAGGCGGAGGUGGAAGACGCUGAGGAAGAUGACGGACAGAUUCAAAGUUUGAACUGGGGGCAUAAAGGUCCAUUUGCCCAUUUUCACCUGGUCGGAACAUAUUCCCCAGCGACAUACAUUUCGGAACAGAGGGAG